UACGGAGGAUGCGAGCGUUAUCCGGAUUUAUUGGGUUUAAAGGGAGCGUAGGCCGGUCUUUAAGCGUGCCGUGAAAUUUUGUGGCUCAACCAUGAGAGUGCGGCGCGAACUGGAGACCUUGAGUGCGCGGAAGGCAGGCGGAAUUCGUGGUGUAGCGGUGAAAUGCUUAGAUAUUAGGAAGAACACCAGUGGCGAAGGCGGAUGACUGGACGACAACUGACGGUGAGGCGCGAAAGCGUGGGGAGCAAACAGG
rnacentral:rRNA from 1 species